rnacentral:rRNA from 1 species
GACGUAGGGCGCGAGCGUUGUCCGGAUUUAUUGGGCGUAAAGAGCUCGUAGGCGGCUUGUUGCGUCGACCGUGAAAACCCGAGGCUUAACCUCGGGCUGGCGGUGGAUACGGGCAGACUAGAGGUAGGUAGGGGAGAAUGGAAUUCCCGGUGUAGCGGUGAAAUGCGCAGAUAUCGGGAGGAACACCGGUGGCGAAGGCGGUUCUCUGGGCCUUACCUGACGCUGAGGAGCGAAAGCGUGGGGAGCGAACAGG